rnacentral:piRNA from 1 species
UUCACCUUCUAGUCCAGUUUU